rnacentral:rRNA from 1 species
UAGGGAAUCUUCCGCAAUGGGCGAAAGCCUGACGGAGCAACGCCGCGUGAGUGAUGAAGGUCUUCGGAUCGUAAAACUCUGUUAUUAGGGAAGAACAAAUGUGUAAGUAACUAUGCACGUCUUGACGGUACCUAAUCAGAAAGCCACGGCUAACUACGUGCCAGCAGCCGCGGUAAUACGUAGGUGGCAAGCGUUAUCCGGAAUUAUUGGGCGUAAAGCGCGCAUAGGCGGUUUUUUAAGUCUGAUGUGAAAGCCCACGGCUCAACCUUGGAGGGUCAUUGGAAACUGGAAAACUUGAGUGCAGAAGAGGAAAGUGGAAUUCCAUGUGUAGCGGUGAAAUGCGCAGAGAUAUGAGGGAACACCAGUGGCGAAGGCGACUUUCUGGUCUGUAACUGACGCUGAUGUGCGAAAGCGUGGGGAUCAAACAGG